rnacentral:tRNA from 1 species
GGCCCGCUAGCCCAAUGGUAAGGUGUUUGACUAUUGAUUAAGAAAUUAUAGGUUCAAGUUCUAUAUAAAUUA